AGGGAGGGAGAGCGGGAGGCCGAACAGCUGGACUCAGGGCCGGCUCUACCUUUUUUUGCCGCCUCAAGCGGCGAAGGAAAAAAAAAGCUGCCACUGUCAUGCCACCACCGAGGGAAGCAGAGGAGGAGCUGCCACCGUCAUGCCGCUGCUGAGGGAAUUGCCGGAGGAGCUGCCGCCAGCAUACCAUCGAAGAGGGAACCACCAGAGGAGCUGCUGCUGGUGUGCUGCCGAAAGCCGCCGCAGUGCCAUCCUAAGACUGCCCGGGAAGCCGCCCUUUCCUGUUUGCCACCCCAGGCACACACUUGCUAGGCUGCUGCCUAGAGCCAGCCCUGCUGGGGAUUCAGGAAGUUAUUUUAGGAUAGUCCCUAAACAUGUAUUCUGGGGAGGGGACUUUUGCUUGGUCCCUGAGGGCCAUGUUGUAAAUUAAUAAAGAAGCAGUUAUUGAGUCCA